CCGACUUUAGCUCAGUUGGUAGAGCGGAGGACUGUAGUGCUCUCAGCUAUCCUUAGGUCGCUGGUUCGAUUCCGGCAAGUCGGA
rfam:Selaginella moellendorffii unplaced genomic scaffold SELMOscaffold_3, whole genome shotgun sequence.